UACGUAGGGUGCGAGCGUUGUCCGGAAUUACUGGGCGUAAAGAGCUCGUAGGUGGUUUGUCGCGUUGUUCGUGAAAACUCACAACUCAAUUGUGGGCGUGCGGGCGAUACGGGCAGACUGGAGUACUGCAGGGGAGACUGGAAUUCCUGGUGUAGCGGUGGAAUGCGCAGAUAUCAGGAGGAACACCGGUGGCGAAGGCGGCUCUCUGGACCGAGACUGACGCUGAGGCGCGAAAGCGUGGGGAGCAAACAGG
rnacentral:rRNA from 1 species